rnacentral:rRNA from 1 species
GAUGAACGCUGGCGGUAUGCUUAACACAUGCAAGUCGAACGGACUCUUCGGAGUUAGUGGCGGACGGGUGAGUAACGCGUGAGAAUCUGGCUUUGGGUUCGGGACAACCACUGGAAACGGUGGCUAAUACCGGAUGUGCCGAGAGGUAAAAGAGAAAUUGCCUGAAGAUGAGCUCGCGUCUGAUUAGCUAGUUGGUGAGGUAAAGGCUCACCAAGGCAGCGAUCAGUAGCUGGUCUGAGAGGAUGACCAGCCACACUGGGACUGAGACACGGCCCAGACUCCUACGGGAGGCAGCAGGGGGGAAUUUUCCGCAAUGGGCGAAAGGCUGACGGAGCAAUACCGCGUGAGGGAAGAAGGCUCUUGGGUUGUAAACCUCUUUUCUUAGGGAAGAACAAAAUGACGGUACCUAAGGAAUCAGCAUCGGCUAACUCCGUG